AGUGAACGCUGGCGGUAGGCCUAACACAUGCAAGUCGAACGGCAGCACAGUAAGAGCUUGCUCUUACGGGUGGCGAGUGGCGGACGGGUGAGGAAUACAUCGGAAUCUACUUUUUCGUGGGGGAUAACGUAGGGAAACUUACGCUAAUACCGCAUACGACCUACGGGUGAAAGCAGGGGAUCUUCGGACCUUGCGCGAUUGAAUGAGCCGAUGUCGGAUUAGCUAGUUGGCGGGGUAAAGGCCCACCAAGGCGACGAUCCGUAGCUGGUCUGAGAGGAUGAUCAGCCACACUGGAACUGAGACACGGUCCAGACUACUACGGGAGGCAGCAGUGGGGAAUAUUGGACAAUGGGCGCAAGCCUGAUCCAGCCAUCCCGCGUGGGUGAAGAAGGCCUUCGGGUUGUAAAGCCCUUUUGUUGGGAAAGAAAAGCAGCAGGUUAAUACCCCGCUGUUCUGACGGUACCCAAAGAAUAAGCACCGGCUAACUUCGUG
rnacentral:rRNA from 1 species